rnacentral:rRNA from 1 species
GUUUGAUCCUGGCUCAGGAUGAACGCUAGCGGCAGGCUUAACACAUGCAAGUCGAGGGGUAUAAUUCUUCGGAAUUAGAGACCGGCGCACGGGUGCGUAACGCGUAUGCAAUCUACCUUUCACAGAGGGAUAGCCCAGAGAAAUUUGGAUUAAUACCUCAUAGUAUAAUGAGNUGGCAUCAACUCAUUAUUAAAGUCACAACGGUGAAAGAUGAGCAUGCGUCCCAUUAGCUAGUUGGUAAGGUAACGGCUUACCAAGGCUACGAUGGGUAGGGGUCCUGAGAGGGAGAUCCCCCACACUGGUACUGAGACACGGACCAGACUCCUACGGGAGGCAGCAGUGAGGAAUAUUGGACAAUGGGCGCAAGCCUGAUCCAGCCAUGCCGCGUGCAGGAUGACGGUCCUAUGGAUUGUAAACUGCUUUUGCACAGGAAGAAACAACGCUACGUGUAGCGUCUUGACGGUACUGUGAGAAUAAGGAUC